UGGGUAAUAUUGGACACUGGGCGAAAGCCUGAUCCAGCCAUGCCGCGUGUGUGAAGAAGGUCUUCGGAUUGUAAAGCACUGUAAGUUGGGAGGAAGGGCAGUAAGCGAAUACCUUGCUGUUUUGACGUUACCGACAGAAUAAGCACCGGCUAACUCUGUGCCAGCAGCCGCGGUAAUACAGAGGGUGCAAGCGUUAAUCGGAAUUACUGGGCGUAAAGCGCGCGUAGGUGGUUCGUUAAGUUGAAUGUGAAAGGCCCGGGCUCAACCUGAGAACUGCAUCCAACACUGGCGAGCUAGAGUAGGGCAUAGGAUAGUGGAAUUUCCUGUGUAGCGGUGAAAUGCGUAGAUUUAGGAAGGAACGCCAGUGGCGAAGGCGACCACCUGGGCUCAUACUGACACUGAGGUGCGAAAGCGUGGGGUGCAAACAGG
rnacentral:rRNA from 1 species